ACGAACGCUGGCGGCAGGCUUAACACAUGCAAGUCGAACGCCCCGCAAGGGGAGUGGCAGACGGGUGAGUAACGCGUGGGAAUCUACCUAUCUCUACGGAAUAACCCGGGGAAACUUGGACUAAUACCGUAUACGCCCUUUUGGGGAAAGAUUUAUCGGAGAUGGAUGAGCCCGCGUUGGAUUAGCUAGUUGGUGGGGUAAAGGCCUACCAAGGCGACGAUCCAUAGCUGGUCUGAGAGGAUGAUCAGCCACAUUGGGACUGAGACACGGCCCGAACUCCUACGGGAGGCAGCAGUGGGGAAUAUUGGACAAUGGGCGCAAGCCUGAUCCAGCCAUGCCGCGUGAGUGAUGAAGGCCCUAGGGUUGUAAAGCUCUUUCAACGGUGAAGAUAAUGACGGUAACCGUAGAAGAAGCCCCGGCUAACUUCGU
rnacentral:rRNA from 1 species